UCUCUCUUUCCACGCGGUGACUUCAAGUGUUCGGAGACACAAGCUCCUGUUUCCUGCAACAAUCUUCCUUUGUUUUAAGUUUUGGUGCGCAGGUAAUCCGCAGCCGGCAGUGUUCUGAGUUCCGAGCUCGGAUUGUCCAGUGAACGCAUCUCAGUUUCUCGGAGAGCGUCAGACUAUAACAGAUUAUCAGAAACAUAACGGUCUUAUUCCGUCCUGCAACGAAAGGACAUCAACGGACAUCUUUCCACUCGACGGAGAACCAACGAAGCCGCUCUUGCCGUAAGGGACCCUCACCGCCAUCAGCCGCCUCUACACCAGGACGGACAGAAGAUCUGUUUUAUCGCCGGACUCCUUUUUCCUUCACCAAUCGCGAGCAAAGCGAUUCACAAGUGAGGCUUAAUUAGGUCUGGGCAGAAUUAGCUUUAGAGAGUGUUUUUAACAAUUGUUUGAUUGAAGCAGAAACUGUAAUUUUUAUCUUUGUUGGACCGCCGCGUCCUGAGUUUUACCUGUUUAAAACUCUUGUUCCCGUUUCGGACCGCUGCGUCCUAUAUGUGUUUAGCUUAACAGCGUUAUAACCGGGUAUUACUCUUCUGAUCAGAAAGGCCAGUGUAAGCCGUAUUAACUUGAAUUCGGCCAUUGGUUUGUUUCUGUGAAUGAAGGGAAUUACUCCGAGUGGUGGCGCGGGAUUCGGACUGUGAUCCGACCUCUUCAGGCACGCAUUUCUCUCCUCCUCUAUUCUCCUCUUUUCUCCCCCUUUUACUAACAGACACACACACAUAUUCCCGUGUAGACGCACAUCUGGAGACUAACUCCACCACCGCGCCAUUACGCACAUAGGCUACACACACACACACACAUAGAUCUAUACACUCGCAGCCAUCCAGACGCCUCAGAGACACAGAUCGUGUAGGGCCGAACUCGGUCUCUUUUAGACAUUAAGGCCACAUUAGGUCUUUGUUAGGUGUGCGCCAUCGUGAGCGACCACGUGGGUACGAAGCCAUCUCCCCCUCUCUUCCCCCCCCUCUCUCUCUCUCACACACACACACACACACACACACACACACAUACAACUACACUUUUACACCUCUUCCACAAGCCUUACUUGAUAAUGUUUGUUGCUUAGAUUAGUUUAUGAUAGUUAUUUGUUUGAUUAGGUUCAUUGAUUUUGGAUUGAUGUUGCUUUGUUUAAAUAAAUUCUGUUAUAAUUUAA